rnacentral:rRNA from 1 species
UACGUAGGGAGCAAGCGUUGUCCGGAAUCAUUGGGCGUAAAGCGCGCGUAGGCGGCCCUGUAAGUCCGUUGUGAAAGUCAAAGGCUCAACCUUUGAAAGCCGAUGGAUACUGCAGGGCUAGAGUCCGGAAGAGGCGAGUGGAAUUCCUGGUGUAGCGGUGGAAUGCGCAGAUAUCAGGAGGAACACCAAUGGCGAAGGCAGCUUGCUGGGACGGUACUGACGCUGAGACGCGAAAGCGUGGGGAGCGAACAGG